rnacentral:rRNA from 1 species
UACAGAGGGUGCGAGCGUUGUCCGGAAUCACUGGGCGUAAAGGGCGCGUAGGUGGUGGCUUAAGCGUGCGGUGAAAGCUCGGAGCUCAACUCCGAGUCGGCCGUGCGAACUGGGCUCACUGGAGCAUAGUAGAGGCAGGUGGAAUUCCGGGUGUAGCGGUGGAAUGCGUAGGAGAUCCGGAAGAACACCGGUGGGCGAAGGCGGCCUGCUGGGCUAUGGCUGACACUGAGGCGACGCGAGCGCUGGGGAGCAA